rnacentral:lncRNA from 1 species
UUCCAACAAAGAGCUUUUUGGACAAAUGAAGAAACUUGAGAUCAUAAAUAACAAAAAUGGAAUAAAAAAAAACCAAGCCCCCAUACUGUACAGAAAAAGAAAAGCAAAAUCUGCAAACAGUUUCCUGUUUAUUCUUUCUCCAACUCAUAGCAAAGAAUAACAAAAAAUAGCAAUUUCAACAGAAAUUAAUCGGUCACAACCCCGUACCAACAAUCCAACCGUCAAUAGUUCCAAG